rnacentral:sRNA from 1 species
UGACAGUGGAUCUUAACGCUUGAUGCUA